rnacentral:rRNA from 1 species
AAAGGCGCAAUGAAAGUAAAGGCCCGCCUCGCGCGGACCGAGGGAGGAUGGGCCGGCCCCAGGCCGGCCCCGCACUCCCGGGGCGUCUCGUUCUCAUCGCGAGAAGAGGCGCACCCAGAGCGUACACGCUGGGACCCGAAAGAUGGUGAACUAUGCCUGGUCAGGACGAAGUCAGGGGAAACCCUGAUGGAGGUCCGUAGCGAUUCUGACGUGCAAAUCGAUCGUCGGAACUGGGUAUAGGGGCGAAAGACUAAUCGAACCUUCUAGUAGCUGGUUCCCUCCGAAGUUUCCCUCAGGAUAGCUGGCGCUCGCCUUUGCGAGUCUCAUUCGGUAAAGCGAAUGAUUAGAGGCAUUGGGGUCGAAACGGCCUCAACCUAUUCUCAAACUUUAAAUGGGUGAGAUCUCCGGCUUGCUUGAAGCGUGAAGCCGCGAGAGAUCGGAUCACAGAGUGCCAAGUGGGCCACUUUUGGUAAGCAGAACUGGCGCUGUGGGAUGAACCAAACGCCGAGUUAAAGCGCCUAAAUCGACGCUUAUGGGG